CCCUUCCCGGGGGCGAGCACAGGUACCUGCGGAAGCCCGGGGCUGCGCGGGAGAGGGCCGGGCAACGGCGGUCAAGGCUCCGUCGCAGCGCUCCUGGCCUCAGACGGUUGCUCGUCGGUCGCUAGCCAGCAGCGGUACCCGCUCUAAGGUCUCCCGCCAACCCGGAGCGAGGGAGCGCGAGGCCGGCAGGGGCCAAUCAGCGCGCACAGCCGGCCGAGGGGGCGGGGCCUGCCUGGGAGUGCGCGCCGGCGAACCCCGCCCCUCCCUGCCCCCCGCCCGCCCGAGCCUCGGCCGCGGGCCUCCCUCCUCCGUUAUCCCGCCUGCCCGCGCAAAACUCACACAACCCUCUUCAUUCGACCUACCUCCCUUGGGCACGUCUCGCAGUCAGGCUUGCGUUGGGGCCGUUUACUUCCCUUCGAUUAGACAACCAGGCCCCCGGGGCUGGGGCUGCGGCCUCCCCUCCCCGCCCGGCACACGCGGGCACAGCGUGGUUACCCUGGUUACUCAAAAGGAAGAGGCCGCUUGAACUGAGAAAAGCACAACGUGUGAAUACGGUGGCUUCUUGUGAGAAGGGGCCAUUCUAUUGUAACUGUGAAUCUGCAGCAGUAAUCUUUUUGGCUUUGUCCUAGCCUUUGACUACGUGGGUGCUUAAUACAUGCAUGUUGAAUGAACAAAUAAAAAGAAUUCUAAACAGCUUUUUGAUCCCAUCCUUUCCUUAUGUCCCUCCUAAGGUAUAACCGGCUUUUUCUUUCUUUUUGAGACUGAGUCCCGCUCUGUCGCCCAGGCUGGAGCAGUGGCACGAUCUCGGCUCACUGCAUACCUCUGCCUCCCGGGUUCAAGCAGUUCUCCCGCCUCAGCCUCCUAAGUAGCUGGGACCACAGGUGCCGCCACGCCCGCCUAAUUUUUAAACAUGCCUUGUAGAGCAGAGUCCUAUGUGGCCCAGGCUGGCCUUGAACUGAACUCAGGCAAUCCUCCCACUGGGAUUACAAUCCUAAGCCACCACACCCAGUGUAAAUCUUUUUUUUUUUUUUUUGGUCUCCAUAUCACGGCUUUUUUCAUGUUGCUAGUCUUUCGAAACGUUUUCAAUGACUGCAUAAUAUUCCAGAGUGGAUGGACCAUUUAAGUCAUUUCAAUAUUUGGAUUGCUUCCAGAUUUUUUGGCUAAUACAAUGAUUACUCUUAAAAGGCAACCUGGCUCUGCCUACUUGUGGUACUUCCAGCAAAUAGCUCCUCAAUCAGCAGUUCUGAAGAACGAGUUAAUUCCUUCCUUCUUGUGCUUCCACACACAGCACAAUAAUGACAAAUUCACCUACAAGUACGAGGAGGGGGCCAACUGGGAACUUAUUUUUCCUUACACAUGCCCUUGACUCUUUCUCCCUGGCCUAUAAAUGGGAGAAUGGGCCAAGAAGCAUCAACUGGUUGUGAAAAUCUUGAGGAAAAUGGCUGCUUCAAGCUUCAUUCCUCUAGCUUUUCCCUAAGGAUCCUUCCUGACUUCUCUCUGCUCUUCCCCUUGUUUUUGCAAGGUACCGGUGUUGUGAUGAUUAAUUUCCAGCCUCGAGUAUAAAAUAUUUACUGAACAAUUAAUGUCCGCUACAUGAAAAACACAGAGGCAUGGCAAGUACCACAAUGAUGAAGACAACAUGGCCUUACCUUUCUAGAGCUUCCAAGCUAGACAGAUAUGGACACAACUAAAAUACAAGGCACAGUGAGUUGUGCCAUGAAGGAAAUGCAAGUGGCUGUAUAACGCACAAAGUACAGUUAUGAGAAGGUUCUUUAGGAUCCCAAAAUCUUUACAAAGGAAACAUGUAAAAUUUGCAUAUAAAAGCCAGCAAAUACACAUAAAUAUUCAUUAAGCUAUCAGGGAAGCAGCUUAUUGCUUAAGUUUUGACUUCAAGUAAAGGGUUACUACCAACUAAGCCUUCUUGAGUGUUCUCAUUCCUGAGUUUGUUUUGUUUUUUAAACUAUGUUGGUGUGUGGAGAAAAGUGAAUAUACUUUAGAAUCAUAUACACUUGGUUUGAAUUCAGGUACUACCAUUUUACUAGCUGUAUGAACGUGGUCAAAUCAUUUAACCCUGGCACCUCUCAUUAAAUGUAAAAGUAGGGUGAUACCACCUACUCUGUAAAAGCGUCUGGGGCGAAUUUGAUAGCGAGCAAACUAGCAGUGCACUGGUCCACAGUAGGUGUUGUUAGCUUCCUUCUUGCCUCUUUUCAUUUGACCUGGGAUUGGAUGAGAACUCAAAACACUUAACUGAACAAUUUAUUCCUUUGUCUCUAGGCAUGGCUUUUCCCCACUAAAAAAGCAUUGAUUGUCCAUAACUUGAUCAUCUCCUGCACUGUGUCCUGCAGUGCCUCCAGGUUGUCCCCAUUCUAAUUUCCUAACUCUCCUUUCCUAAAUGUAUCUCCUAUUAUCCAGUAAGAAUGAGAGAAACACUCAUACUUGUUUUGAACUUUCCCACUUCUUUGACCUUGCAUAUUACUGUAGUGUGCUCUCUUCAUCACUCUCAUUUAAAAUUUCUGUCUGGUAUCCAGCCUUUGAGACCCAGCUUAAAUUAAUCAGCUCAUCAUCAUUUGAGUGCUUAGUAAGUGCAGGCUGUGUGCCAUGCUUGAAUUCCUGUAGCAUUUUCUGAAAUUAUCAUUUAUGUAAUCUUAUUAACCAGCUUUUUAAAAUAAAAAUGUUUGUGUAUACAGAUACAAUUAUAUAUGAAUCGGAUCAUAUACAUACUUUAAAAAUGUACAAAACAAUACAUGUAGCAUAUAUGGAGGCUGAGACAUAAUAAAAACUUGUGAAGCCACCGCCUACCAAAACACAUGAACCUAACAUCCAAGAGACAGGACAUCAACAAUACUGUUGAGAUUCUGUAUGCUCCUCCUUCUCCCAUUAUGAUCCCCAGGAGGCGACUGUUUCCCAUUCUCUUUUCUUUGCGUAUCCUAAAACACAAGUUUUAUUUGUGAACUAUUCAACCUCAGUAUUCCUCAUAGAUUUAGCCAUGCUAAUGCAUAACACUGUGAAUCAUUUUCAUUGUUGCUUUCUGUUCUAGAAAUAUACCAUAAUAUACCAAUGCUCCUGUCAAUGGGCAUUUGGGUCAUUUUUUUGGGCAUUUGGAUCCUUUUGCUACUGUGAAUGCCAUGGGGAACGCCUCUGCAAGGCCAUAUUGUUUACAGCUGGUUCAAGUUCCGAUUAACUGGUGGUCUGAUUGGUGAAUGUCUACGACUUAAAAUCAAGUAUUUUGACUACUUUGCUUGUUAAUGCACCAUGGUGCACUUUUUCCAUAAAUGCUUUAAAGUGAAAUUGAUGGGUUGUAGGGCAUGCACAUGUUCAGUUUUAAAAGGUUAUAAAUGCUAAAUUCAUUUUCCAAGCAGUGUUACCAAUUUUAAGAGUUCCCAUUAGUUUACAUCUUGUCAACUUAUUUUCAGGUUUUCUGUGACUAGAUGAUUUUUUUUUUUUUUUUUUUUUGAGACGGAGUCUCGUUCUGUCACCCAGGCAGGAGUGCAGUGGCGCGAUAUCGGCUCACUGCAAGCCCCGCCUCCCGGGUUCACGCCAUUCUACCUCAGCCUCCCGAGUAGCUGGGACUACAGGUGCCCGCCACCACACCCGGCUAAUUUUUUGUAUUUUUAGUAGAAACGAGGUUUCACCGUGUUAGUCAGGAUGGUCUCCAUCUCCUGACCUUGUGAUCCGCCCGCCUCGGCCUCCCUAAGUGCUGGUAUUACAGGCAUGAGCCACCGUGCCCAGCCGACUUAACACAGAAGACAGCUCUGGAUUUUCUUUUCAGCACCCUUUUCUAGUAAAUGGUUCUACCUAACCUGCUAAACCACUUGAAAGCAGGGAUAGUUGCUAUGUUCAUGCAAUAUCCCUUCCCUCUCUUACUUGAUGGAGUUGUAAGGGUCUUUGAGACAAAUUGGGCCAAAUUUCUUUCGUGUAAUUCUGCACUGAGACCACGUAUUCAGCCUGGGUGACUGUUCUUUUAAGUUAAAGAGAUUAAAAGCUCUGAGAAGUAUCAAAAAUAGAACAAUUGGCCGGGCACGGUGGCUCGUGGCUCACUACAAAGGUGACAUUAAGAUCAAGAAAACAGAAUAGAGACUAUAGAAAGGGGAGGAAAGAAAGUAAUCCUGAGGAUCUUGCGAUGUUUGUUCUCAGUAACAGGCAACUUCUCCACUAUGCCUGUCAGGUGCUAGCUGCAAAAUGCUCCUUCAAGAAACUCAGCCUCCCGAGUAGCUGGGAUUACAGGUGUGUGCCACCAGGCCUGGCUAAUUUUUGUACUUUUAGUAGAGACAGGGUUUUCCCAUGUUGGCCAGGCUGGUCUCGAACUCCUGAUCUCAAGUGACCUGCCAGCCUUGGCCUCCCAAACUGCUGGGAUUACAGGCGUGAGCCACCGUGCCUGGCUGACUUCUUAAACUUACCAAUAGUUUACAAAGUAGGGGCCAGAGUUUUGACAAACCAUUUAUUUUGGCAGUACAGACUCAAAUCAAUUUUCUCCUUGAAACUUCAGCAUUCUUGUCAUAAGAGACAAAAGCAGUUACAUGAGGAUAAAGAAAAACUGGAAUUUUAUUAUUUGUGGUUAACUUCUUCAGGUCAAGGUGUCAAAACAGUAAUACAAGUAGAGAUUUUUGACACCCACUUGCCAUUCAUUAAGCAAGUAUCUGCAGGCCUCCUAUGUGGCAGGCGCCACUCUACGAUAAGGAGAUACGAAUCAGUGAACAAAAGAGAAAAAAAAUACCUGCAUGGGCGCAAUGGCUCAUGCCUGUAAUCCCAACACUUUGCGAGGCUGAGGUGGGCGGAUCACUUGAGCUCAGGAGUUGGAGACCAUCCUAGGGAACAUGGUAAAACCCCCCACUCUACAAAA
rnacentral:lncRNA from 10 species